rnacentral:rRNA from 1 species
UACGUAGGGUGCGAGCGUUAAUCGGAAUUACUGGGCGUAAAGUGUGCGCAGGCGGCGUUGCAAGUCGAGUGUGAAAUCCCCGAGCUUAACUUGGGAAUUGCGCUCGAAACUACGAUGCUCGAGUAUGGCAGAGGAAGGUGGAAUUCCACGUGUAGCGGUGAAAUGCGUAGAGAUGUGGAGGAACACCGAUGGCGAAGGCAGCCUUCUGGGCCAGCACUGACACUGAGGCACGAAAGCGUGGGGAGCAAACAGG